rnacentral:lncRNA from 1 species
GGAUAGGUUUCUGGAGAAUACUCGCCACAAAAAGCAGUUCGAAAUCGAAUCCGUCGGAUGGUGCUGAUGGAUUGUUGCAAAUCUGCUAGAUCUUUCGAUCCAUUUCUCGAAGUCUUCACUCGACUUCUACAUCACGGUUGGUAUGCGCUUCAAAGGAUGGAGGAGAUCGUCGGUCGGGGGUUGAAUCAUGCUCCGACUGAGGAUUCGAAGACCACCGUCUCCUUGGUUGUUGAGUCUGAUUCGCCGCUAAUCGCU